UAACGAAUAUUGGGCAAUGGGCGCAAGCCUGACCCAGCAAUGCCGCGUGCAGGAGGAAGCCCUUCGGGGUGUAAACUGCUGUCAGGGGUUCGCAAGCGAAGGGGCCUAAUACGUCCCUGAGUUGAGCCGCCCCAGAGGAAGCCUCGACUAACUCUGUGCCAGCAGUCGCGGUAAGACAGAGGAGGCAAGCGUUGUUCGGAAUCACUGGGCUUAAAGCGGGUGUAGGCGGCUGCGCAAGUGUCCUGUGAAAUCCCACGGCUCAACCGUGGAACUGCAGGGCAAACUGCGUGGCUUGAGGUCGGUAGAGGUGCCUGGAACUCUAGGUGGAGCGGUGAAAUGCGUAGAUAUCUAGAGGAACGCCGGAGGCGAAAGCGGGGCACUGGGCCGAUUCUGACGCUGAGACCCGAAAGCGUGGGGAGCAAACA
rnacentral:rRNA from 1 species